GGCGGAGGCCGUGCUGCGGAGCUGCGCGAGCCCCGGCCCGUGGCGCCCGCUGCUCCCGCGCCCCGGCGAGCGCUCCUACGACAGCGACGACGAGGACUCUCCGGACGCGCUGGCCCAGGUGGAGCAGAGCUUCCUGGGGCUGCGCCAGUGCUUCUGCGUCUGGGAGGAUCCCCGCACCGAGACCUUCCGGGGCCACGUCCGGCCCCAGCCCAGCGACGCGGCGCACGCGGCCUUCUCCUACCACCCCGUCCACCCCCGCGUGGCCAAGCACUGCGCCGCGCUGCACGCCCUGCUCCAGCACCGCCACCACCUCCGCCUCUCCCCCUGCCUCCCCCCGGAGUGCGAGGAGGAGCUGAGGCGCCUCUGCCUGCGCCUGCUCUGCCGCGGCGUCUUCCAGAGCUGGGACCGAGGCUUCACCCGUGCCCUGGGCUCGGGGCUCUCCGACAAGUGCUGCGCGGAGCCGGAGCAGGCGGCAGGAGCGGCGCAGAGCAGGACGGCGCGGCUCCUGCAGCAGCUCUACCCAGCGCUGGCCUUCGCCCUGCGCCGCCUGGAGCCCCGUCCCGCCGGGCGAGCGGGUGAGCGGGGCGUCAUCGCGCCCGGGGCACGUUCGCGGGUGCCCUGCUGGGCUGAGCUCCUGCCCCCGGGAUCCCCUCCGUGCUGGGACCCCCUGCGCCCCCC
rnacentral:lncRNA from 1 species